rnacentral:rRNA from 1 species
UAGAGGAAGUAAAAGUCGUAACAAGGUUUCCGUAGGUGAACCUGCGGAAGGAUCAUUAUUGUAUAAUGGAGGUGCCGGGGCUGUCGCCAACUUUGUGCACGCCCUGGUGCUCUCUCAUAAUCCAUCUCACCCCCUUUGUGCAUCACCGGCGUGGGUGCUCUCCUUUUGGUUCGUUCCAAAAGGGGGGCGUUUGCGUUUUUAUACAGACCACCGCAUGUGUAGAAUGUCUUACUAUUUGCGAUAAUGCGCAAUCAAUACAACUUUCAACAACGGAUCUCUUGGCUCUCGCAUCGAUGAAGAACGCAGCGAAAUGCGAUACGUAAUGUGAAUUGCAGAAUUCAGUGAAUCAUCGAAUCUUUGAACGCACCUUGCGCCCCUUGGAAUUCCGAGGGGCACACCCGUUUGAGUGUCGUGAACAUCCUUCAACCUUUCUUGGUUUCUUGACCGGGGAAGGCUUGGACUUUGGGGGUUUUUCAUUGCUGGCCUCCCUUGAAGCCAGCUCCUCCUAAAUGGAUUAGUGGGGUCUGCUUUGCCGAUCCUUGACGUGAUAAGAUGUUUCUACGUCUUGGGUUUCGCACUGUCGCUUCAGACCCUGCUUCUAACUGUCUUGCAUCUAAGACACAGUUUUAUGAACCUUGACCUCAAAUCGGGUGAGACUACCCGCUGAACUUAAGCAUAU